rnacentral:rRNA from 1 species
UACGAGGGGCGAGCGUUGUUCGGAAUUAUUGGGCGUAAAGGGUGCGUAGGCGGUUCCGCAAGUCCUGUGUGAAAUCUUCGGGCUCAACUCGAAGUCUGCACGGAACUGCGGGCUUGAGUGUGGGAGAGGUGAGUGGAAUUCCGGUGUAGCGGUGAAUGCGUAGAUAUCGGAGGAACACCAGAGGCGAAGGCGGUUACCUGGACAGUUACUGACGCUCAGGCAC